GAGAAGAGUCAGAGCUCCCUGGAAGCCGGGGCUGUGGUUGGACUGAGCUUGGCUUGAGGGGAUCCCGAGAAGGGACUUUGGGUUAUACACCUGAGCUGUCUUUGUUCCAGGGGCUCCAAGACAGUCAUGGAUCAAUCUUCAAGGAGGGACGAGUCUUACCAUGAGACACACCCCGGUAGCUUAGACCCAAGCCAUCAAUCCCACCCCCACCCCCACCCCCACCCCACCCUGCAUAGGCCAAACCAAGGUGGCGUCUAUUACGAUUCUCCUCAGCAUGGGAUGUUCCAACAACCAUACCAACAGCAUGGUGGGUUCCAUCAACAAAAUGAAUUGCAGCAUUUGCGUGAGUUCUCAGACUCCCAUGACAAUGCUUUCUCCCAUCAUUCCUAUCAGCAGGACAGGGCUGGUGUCUCUACCUUACCUAAUAACAUCUCUCACGCUUAUGGUGGAUCGCACCCCCUUGCUGAGUCCCAGCACUCUGGUGGACCCCAGAGUGGACCUCGUAUUGACCCGAAUCAUCAUCCCCACCAAGAUGACCCCCAUAGACCCAGUGAACCUUUGUCCCACCCCUCCUCUACUGGCAGCCACCAAGGGACAACCCAUCAACAAUACCAUGAGAGGUCUCACCAUCUUAACCCCCAGCAGAACAGAGAUCAUGCAGACACCAUUUCCUAUCGCUCCAGUACGCGGUUCUAUCGCUCCCAUGCGCCGUUCAGUCGCCAGGAAAGACCUCAUCUCCACGCUGAUCACCAUCAUGAGGGCCAUCAUGCCCAUUCUCACCAUGGUGAACAUCCCCACCACAAGGAGCAACGGCACUAUCACGGAGAUCAUAUGCAUCACCAUAUCCAUCAUCGCUCCCCAAGUGCCUCCCAACUCUCACACAAGUCUCACAGCACACUUGCCACCUCUCCAUCUCAUGUGGGAUCGAAAAGCACAGCCAGUGGGGCUCGGUACACCUUUGGAGCUCGCUCUCAAAUUUUCGGCAAAGCUCAGUCCAGGGAGAGCUUGAGAGAAUCAGCCUCUUUGAGUGAAGGGGAGGAUCACGUUCAGAAACGCAAAAAGGCCCAGAGGGCCCACAAGAAGGCACACACCGGGAAUAUCUUCCAAUUGCUAUGGGAAAAAAUAAGCCAUCUCCUUUUGGGUCUUCAGCAAAUGAUAUUGUCACUGACCCAGUCCCUGGGCUUUGAGACCUUUAUCUUCAUCGUGGUCUGCCUCAACACAGUCAUCCUUGUGGCCCAGACUUUCACUGAGCUAGAGAUCCGAGGUGAAUGGUACUUCAUGGUCUUGGACUCCAUCUUCCUCUCCAUCUAUGUACUAGAAGCAGUCCUCAAGCUAAUUGCCCUGGGCCUGGAGUAUUUUUAUGACCCAUGGAACAACCUGGGUGGACUUCUUCAUCAUGGUCAUGGCAGUGCUGGACUUUGUGCUCCUUCAGAUAAACUCGCUCUCAUAUUCAUUCUACAACCACAGCCUGUUCCGGAUUCUCAAAGUCUUCAAAAGUAUGCGGGCCCUGAGGGCCAUCCGGGUUCUUCGGAGGCUCAGCAUCCUGACCAGCCUCCACGAAGUGGCCGGGACUCUGAGUGGAUCUUUACCAUCCAUCACGGCCAUCCUCACCCUCAUGUUUACCUGCCUCUUCCUCUUCUCUGUGGUUCUCCGAGCACUGUUUCAGGACUCAGACCCCAAGCGCUUCCAGAACAUCUUUACCACACUCUUCACCCUGUUCACCAUGCUCACCCUGGACGACUGGUCCCUCAUCUACAUAGACAACAGGGCCCAAGGCGCCUGGUACAUCAUACCGAUCCUCAUGAUUUACAUUGUCAUCCAGUACUUCAUCUUCCUCAACCUGGUGAUUGCUGUCCUGGUAGAUAACUUCCAGAUGGCGUUGCUCAAAGGCCUAGAGAAAGUGAAGCUGGAGCAAGCUGCCCGGGUCCAUGAGAAGUUGUUGGAUGACUCUCUGACAGAUCUCAACAAAGCAGACGCCAAUGCACAAAUGACCGAGGAGGCCUUGAAGAUGCAGCUUAUUGAGGGAAUGUUUGGCAACAUGACAGUGAAGCAGCGGGUGCUCCACUUCCAGUUCCUGCAGUUGGUGGCAGCGGUAGAACAGCAUCAACAGAAGUUUCGUUCCCAAGCGUACGUCAUCGAUGAGCUUGUGGACAUGGCAUUUGAGGCUGGAGACGACGACUACGGGAAGUGACCCUGAAGAAUACUAACCUGAGUUUCUGGCAAGCUACCUACCUCGGUGGGUUGGGACAUGGCCCUAAUGCUGCUGGUAUUAUCCAGAACCAUGUUGGACUGAGGUCCCAAUAGAGUUUUUAAAACCCC